CUAAGCGUACACGGUGGAUGCCCUGGCAGUCAGAGGCGAUGAAGGACGUGCUAAUCUGCGAUAAGCGCCGGUAAGGUGAUAUGAACCGUUAUAACCGGCGAUUUCCGAAUGGGGAAACCCAGUGUGUUUCGACACACUAUCAUUAACUGAAUCCAUAGGUUAAUGAGGCGAACCGGGGGAACUGAAACAUCUAAGUACCCCGAGGAAAAGAAAUCAACCGAGAUUCCCCCA
rnacentral:rRNA from 1 species